CAAAGUCAUCAUGCAGCCUGUGCUGGGGCAGAACAUCCAGUGUGAGGAGGAGCAGCUGGCAGAGAGCCCACCUGUCACCAAGAGGCUGAGGGAAUUCAAUAUCUCACUCCAUCCUCACACAAGACAACUGAGACAACUAAAGCAGAAGCCACAGGAACAGAGAGAUGCCUCCAUCUUACUCCAUCAGCAUCUCAAAGAUCUGCUCACAGUGGACAGCCCUGAGAGCUGCCUGAACCAGGGCCUCUGGGAUCCACUUUCUCAGGGACAUCAUCUGGCAGAGCACCGUGCCCACAAGCUCAGCCAAGGUACUGUCCGAGGAAAGGAGGGAAGACCUGCUAGGACAGAGGCUGGGGAACUCCACCCUCUCCUUCCUGCCUGAGGGGAGGAUAGCAUUGGAAAGUCUGCAGUGUCCUCAGAGGAGGCUGUGACAGGAGGAGCUUCCUCGCAGGGAAGGGACCUGGGCUAACCAGGAGGGCUCCCAGGUCUGUGCUCACACUGACUUCAGAGAAGGCAUUCAGUGACUUCCUCU